CUUGCAACAGACUUUCAAGACACUCUAUUUAAUAUAUAUGUGACAGUUUCUAGGGCAUUAUCCCUAAAAAGAUAUUUGGGAGAUCAAUGAAGCAUAUCAUAGACCACACCAUAUCCAUCACAGUACAAUUCCUCCUUUCUGCUACACCAUCUAACUGAGGCAUAUUAGAAGGGAUCUAUUCAGAGAGAAUACCUUUACUUUUAAGAUGAUCAAGAAAUUCAAUGGAUAAGUAUUCUUUUCCUCAAUC
rnacentral:lncRNA from 1 species